CCUCCCACUCCGACAGCCCAGCUCCGGGGCCAGGCGGGGAUGGAGCCGACCGCUCCUGCCCUCGUCAACCUGCCCCCACUUCUCCCAGGAUCUUCCCUUAGGCUGCUUGAAAUGACUGUCUCCUUUAACAGCACUUGCAGAAGGCACAUCCAGGCAGAAGCUUUUCCUGUCAACAGCUUUUCUUUCCCUCCCAGCAUGGAACUCAUCACAGGGGAAAAUUCACUGGGGCUAACUGGAAGUUAUACAUAUAUAAAA